ACUGGGCAGUUUUGAGCUCUAAACACAAUUUGGACGAAAUUUGGGUUUCUAAAGGCUCAAAACACUUGAAAACACAAUCUAAGACAAGUUCUAACUAAUAUGACUUAAAAAAGUAAAUGGGGUUUGGUUUCGGACGAAAAUGAGUAAAUUAAAACAAGAACAAUUUAAACAGAUUCUUAAGCAAAUUUAGGUGAAUUGAUGAGAUAUGGGGUAACUAGAGGGUUCUUCUCCACACAUGACACACUUGUAUUCAAAUUGAUUUCCAAUUGCUUCUCUCAAUAAGUCAUGAAACUCAAUACUCUAGGUUAACUGUGACAGCACUUUUUUAACCUUCAAGUUUUCCUUAAGUUAAUGAAUUGGAUGGGAAAGCACAUACAACAAUUCAAAGCAUUCUCUAAAAGUCCUCUACGUGAAAAGUACAAUAAAGGUACAAUCAAAGAUCAUUAAGUUUCAUGAAAACUAUAAGCAUUGACAAGACAAUUGUUACUCUGAAAAGCAUGAAACUUUUGCCAAGAAUUCACUUAACACGAUCAUUUAUAAGCGACCUCCACUACUUGCAAAUAUAAGUUUGUAACUAUUAGGUGAAACUCCCUUAUAUUUUAGCUUCAAAUCCUUGCAUGAAAACUAAGUGUGCACUCUUAAUAAACAUACAAGAAUAAGUUAUCAAUCAAACAGUUAAGCAAAUUGAAUUCACAACUUAUGAAAUAACAACUGAAGGUAAUCAAUUCAUAAUGCAAGUAUAAUCAUGGUAUUGAAUAGCCCCCUAGCCAAGAAGGGCUUAGUUCCUCAUAUCCACAAAACAAAGAUACAUAAAUUUAGACAUUAAAAACAAAGAAUGAAAACACCUAGAAACGCUCCAACAAUCCAACGUCUUGAAUGGCUGAUGUGAAAAUUAUGUUGACACUCAAAUUAACCCUCUUUUUAUCAAUUGUAGCAAAGUAUGUAAGUAGGGAUCGUUCUAAACCGGGGAUUAGGAGGGAUUGCAAAAUCACUUGAAAACAGACUCAAAUACGUAAAAACAAGUUUAAAACACUAAACUAAACUCAAAGAAUGCAAAACUAAACUUUAAAACACCAAAACAAACCAAAAGACUCAAAACAGCCCAAAAACACUCAAAACUGCCUUAAAACCACAAUCUGGGCAGUUUUGAACACUAGACUCAAUCUUGGACGAAAAUUGGUUUUAUCUUGACCUAAGACACUUAAAAACAUAAACUAAAGUGAUUUCUAACUACUAUGACUCAACUAAGUAAAUGGGGAUUGAUUUUGGACGAAUUUAACUUUGAAAACAGAAACUUUGAAAACAAACUUUAAUGAAAACGAUUUUGAUGAAAUAGAAUGGGGAAAGGCUAGCUAGAGGGUUCCUUCUCCACACAUGAAACAUAUGCAUACGACUCGAUCUCCAAUUACUCUUUCAACAAACCAUGAAUGACAAUGCCCCAAAUUAACUAGAUUGACCAAUUAAUUCUCAGAUUUCCCUAGAUUCAUUGAAUUGAAUGGGAUACGCAUUACAACCAAAAUUAUUCUUAUCAAGGACCCUAACUAUGGAAUACGCAUGAUAGAGACACAUAUCAAAGAUCAUUAAGUUCAAUGGAAAUCAUAAGCAUUGACAAGGCAUUCAUAACUAUGGGAUACGCAUGUUACUCUUGCCUAGGAUUUACUUAACACAAUCGUGACUAGCGA
rnacentral:lncRNA from 1 species